UAUAGAGCUUCCAUGGCGCCUGUUUAUCAAAAACAUGGUUUUUUGUAUUAAUGAAAAAUCCGGUCUGCUCACUGCUAGUGGUAAAUAGCCGCAGUAUUUUGACUGUGCUAAGGUAGCAUAAUCAUUUGCCUUUUAAUUGAGGGCUAGUAUGAAUGACUUGAUGUGGUAAAAUCUGUCUCUAGAGACAAAGUUGAAUUUGAUUAAUUAGUAAAAAGGCUACUAUAAUUCUGUAGGACGAUAAGACCCUAUUAAGCUUAAUUUUUGAAUUUUACUGGGGCGGUAUUUUAAGAAAAAAAGCUUGAAUAAGAGGAUUAAAUUAUUUGGACCCAAUAAUAUUGAGUUUAGGAUAAAGUUACUAUAGGGAUAACAGCUUUAUUUUUUUAUUGAGUUCUUAUUUUAAAAAAAGUUUGUGACCUCGAUGUUGAAUUAAAGAUUCUGUUUGGUGAAGUAGCUAACUUUGUUAGUCUGUUCG
rnacentral:rRNA from 1 species